GACGUAAAGCCCAAAUAAGCUACAAGAUUUUUUAUCUAUAAUUUAUUGAGUUUUGUUUACAUAUUAAUAAACAAUUACUUCUAUAUCAAUAUUUUACAAAGUUUGUAACAUGUCACUCCAGCUUUGUAGAACUUGUAUUGCACAAUACAUAAAAUGUCUGUUUCAUUUAAUAUAUUUACAUGUGAAUCUGUCAGACAUUUUCGUGAUAUAAAAAGCACUCAAACGAUCAGGCCUUACUUUAAUGGUGAACUAUAUAAAACAGCCAGGAUAAUGAAUUUAAGAUUAUUAUUACUGCAUACGAUUGACUGAAUAAAAGUUUCUGAAGAAUUAGGAAAUUCCGGAUACACAUGAUUCUUUAAAUAUGAUGAUAAUUCUGUUCAGAGCAUUCUUCCCAUUUUGACACAUAUAAUGUAAAAGGUAAAUCAUAGGGACCCUACUGUAAACAAGUAACAUACAUGUUAGAUGUAUUUUUCACAUCUAUCAAUAACACUUUCCCUUUAAUUCAAACCUAACGUUUGUCUGGUUUGUUGACAGUACUUCAUGUUCACUGGUGGCAGAUUCACUUGUUUCAGAGCUUCAGAACUCGGACUCUGGUAAAUGUUCUUAACCCUUUCACCACUGUAGAUCAUAAUGGACUCAUCUGGAUCAAUGCAUGGUAUAGUCUAUUAAAGUUACAUAGGGUUGAAAGGGUUAAAGAGACUUCUAUGCUUAAAACACAUAUCCCAAUCUCGAGUUGACAUCUUAUGAGAUGUAACUUACAGUCCAGGGUAUUCAGAAUAAAUUUAAUCAUACUGAUAUAGAAUUCAAAAGGGAUAAUAACAUGUAUGAAUAUUUGUUGGUGUUUUCAAGAAGAUGGAAGAUUGAUAUAUAUAUAUAUAUAUAUACUUGACACAUGUACAUUGUAUAUGGUUUUCUUUAGCACUCUUUAGUGAGUUGCAUAAAAAUGAAAUGUUAUGGAAGUGAGUUAAAGAUUUUUUAUCAUUUAUUCAAUCAAUGCAUGUCAAAUGCCCAUAUAUGGUUAUUUAGAAUGGAAAAUUUACAAAAAAAAGCACCAUUAGAGUUUUGCUAUUACCAUAAAUUUGUGAGGUCAUCAUAAGGUUCAUUGUGAUGUCACCAAAAUUACCAUGUUAUUUCAUUAUUAUGUUAUUACACUGCAGAGCGUGUGUAUAUAACUGAUAUAACAAAUUAUUACAACUAGGGCUUAAGGAUAACACUGCACGUCUCGUUAUACUGUCACAUUCUCAUUUAUAUUGGCAUAAUAAUUAUCUUAAAGAAAUUAUUGUAAUAUGAUAUCAAAAAUGUUCAUGUUCUACAGAUGAGAUUCAAUAAAUACUCAGUAGAAAGAGAUUAGAAAUAAUUAUGGAGACAAUGGAAGUGGAGAUUAAAAAGAAUGACAUUAUGCAGUUCGAGAGAUUAUAUUUAGCUGUGUAGUACUACACCUCCUAGAUCAAUCCUAGAGCUUAUUUAACGGGCUGGAAAAACAGCCCCUGUUUGCAUUAUAUGAGCAUUUCAAACAAAGUAUAUGAGAGCUAAGUUUAAUGUGUUUGAGUACUAUUUGUUGUAUCAGGCAGGAGUGGGACAAACAAAAUCUCUUCACUUCCAGUUCUCCUACCGUUGAUUCACAUAUUUGAAACAAUCCUAUAAAACUGUUGUCAGAUGCAAGUCAACAUUUGCUAAAAUCACUAAAUACAUGUAACUAAUUACAUGAAAAAAAUUCUGUCUUUAAAUAAAAUUCUGUCAUAUGUGACUGAAGCAAAACUUUAUAAAACAAUACACACAAAUCUCUUAAUACCGACAACCAGACAUCCUAGACUAUAAUUUAACCAUGUUAAUACAGUACACAGGUAGCUAUGCUUGUUUGUUAGACACGCCAUAGGACUCAAACAGUUCUUAAAGUUAUAUAUUUAUCUUGGAAAUAUUACAUUCCUGUUUAUUGUUGAAAUAAUGCUUCCAGAAUCUACAGGAAUCUUGUGACCUUCACCUGUAUAAUUCAUAUUCUACCAGUGUACGUUCUGCCCUUCACAUGUUACUACCGCUGUAUAUAUUGUGUUCCGUGGACUAUUAUUUCCUGUCAUGAUAUAUUCACCCUUUAAUAUUAUAAAUGGCAAAAAAAGCAAUACUUAAACUGCGGCAAACAAUUUGUGUUGUGCUGUACCCAGUAAUACAGGAAACCUUUUAAUUGUAUGUAUGGAAGACAGCUGAACGUUGAAAAUAGAGUGUAAAAACCAGUUAUUUCACGACACAUGUACAUGUGUAUCACCACUAUAUUCACUGCACUUUAAUAUUAUAAAUGCACUGUGGUUAUAGGUUUGCCUCAGGAUUCAAUCUCACAUGCUGAUAUCUGUAAGUGGCCCUGCUGUUAUAAACCUAACACCAAAGUUACCCCUUUAUAAAAGUUACAUUGGGUAUAUAUACUACUGGAGAUUGCAAGCACGGAUCUGUCACACAAA
rnacentral:lncRNA from 1 species